rnacentral:rRNA from 1 species
UGGUUUUGGAGGAUGAUCAGCAACACUGGGACUGAGACACGGCCCAGACUCCUACGGGAGGCAGCAGUGGGGAAUCUUAGACAAUGGGCGCAAGCCUGAUCUAGCCAUGCCGCGUGAGUGAUGAAGGUCUUAGGAUCGUAAAGCUCUUUCGCCAGGGAUGAUAAUGACAGUACCUGGUAAAGAAACCCCGGCUAACUCCGUGCCAGCAGCCGCGGUAAUACGGAGGGGGUUAGCGUUGUUCGGAAUUACUGGGCGUAAAGCGUACGUAGGCGGAUUAGAAAGUAUGGGGUGAAAUCCCAGGGCUCAACCCUGGAACUGCCUCAUAAACUACUAGUCUAGAGUUCGAGAGAGGUGAGUGGAAUUCCGAGUGUAGAGGUGAAAUUCGUAGAUAUUCGGAGGAACAUCAGUGGCGAAGGCGGCUCACUGGCUCGAUACUGACGCUGAGGUACGAAAGUGUGGGGAGCAAACAUGAUUAGAUACCCUGGUAGUCCACACCGUAAACGAUGAAUGCCAGUCGUCGGGUAGCAUGCUAUUCGGUGACACACCUAACGGAUUAAGCAUUCCGCCUGGGGAGUACGGUCGCAAGAUUAAAAA